AUGUAACACGAGAAAUAUCUAAAAUUCAGUCCGAGGUACGUUUCUCGCCGGUACACACGAUUAAGUGAUAUAAAAAAAACAUGUAGAGUGCCAGGAGUACUAUAUGGAAUCUUAAGUUUUGAAAAGCGAUUCUUGCAUCAACAACGUCAAGCUUAGCCUGAACUGCACCAAAGACUACAACACCUACAACACCAACAACAGCCGUUCGUACCCCUACACCCACGCCCAGAGUGAACCCUGCCUCAAAAAUAAGCACUGCGAUCCUAGCAUAAAAGGCAAGGAUUUCGGCAGUCAACACGGCAAAAACAACGACCCUUGCAACAAAAAUUACUCCGAUUUAUUCUACCGCAAGAAUCCCUCGAAGUUGUCGCGGACAGCGAGAGCCAGCCUCGACAACGUGUCCGUCAAUCCCUGGGAA